rnacentral:rRNA from 1 species
ACAGCAGUCGCCGCGGUAAUACGAAGGGGGCUAGCGCUGUUCGGAAUUACUGGGCGUAAAGGGCGCGUAGGCGGCGACGAUAGUCAGAAGUGAAAGCCCCGGGCUCAACCUGGGAAUUGCUUUUGAUACUGUGUUGCUUGAAUUCGGGAGAGGUGAGUGGAAUUCCGAGUGUAGAGGUGAAAUUCGUAGAUAUUCGCAAGAACACCAGUGGCGAAGGCGGCUCACUGGCCCGAUACUGACGCUGAGGUGCGAAAGCGUGGGGAGCAAACAGGAUUAGAUACCCCUGUAGUCCCUGUCUCUUAUAC